AUACUUACCUGGCAGGAGAAACACCAUGACCACUAAGGCGGUUUUCCCAGUCACCGGGGAUAACUGCUUUUCUGGCACGGAGUAGUACCCAUGGAGGUAAUGUAUA
rnacentral:snRNA from 1 species